rnacentral:rRNA from 1 species
AAAAAGAAACUAACAAGGAUUCCCCUAGUAGCGGCGAGCGAAGCGGGAAGAGCUCAAAUUUAUAAUCUGGCGCUUUCAGCGUCCGAGUUGUAAUCUCUAGAAGUGUUUUCCGCGUUGGACCGCACAUAAGUCUGUUGGAAUACAGCGGCACAGUGGUGAGACCCCCGUUCACGGUGCGGAUGCCCAAUGCUUUGUGAUACACUUUCGAAGAGUCGAGUUGUUUGGGAAUGCAGCUCAAAUUGGGUGGUAAAUUCCAUCUAAAGCUAAAUAUUGGCGAGAGACCGAUAGCGAACAAGUACCGUGAGGGAAAGAUGAAAAGCACUUUGGAAAGAGAGUUAACAGUACGUGAAAUUGUUGGAAGGGAAACGCUUGAAGUCAGACUUGCUAUUCGGGGCUUGCUCCGAGUUGCAGGCCAGCAUCAGUUUUUCGGGGCGGAAAAUCACGGAUUGAAGGUAGCAGUUUCGGCUGUGUUAUAGCUUUCCGUUGGAUACGUCCUGGGGGACUGAGGAACGCAGUGUGCUUUUAGCGAGGGCUUCGGCUC